CAGUUCUGGGUUUGCUUUUCACAAGAAGCAUUGCCUGAUGUGAAUGAUGCCUCGCACAAAAAGAGCUCUCGAGAAGACCUACGAUUAAGAAUUGUUGACUUGCAUAAAGCUGGAAAGGGUUAUAAAAGUAUCUCCAAAAGCCUUGCUGUUCCAUCAGUCCACGGUAAGACAAAUUGUCUAUAAAUGGAGAAAGUUUAUCACUGCUGCUACUCUCCCUAGGAGUGGCCGUCCUGUAAAGAUGACUGCAAGAGCACAGCUCAAUGAGGUGAGGAAGAAUCCUAGAGUGUCAGCUAAAG